AUUGAACGCUGGCGGCAGGCCUAACACAUGCAAGUCGAGCGGAUGAGGAAAGCUUGCUUUUCGAUUCAGCGGCGGACGGGUGAGUAAUGCCUAGGAAUCUGCCUGUUAGUGGGGGAUAACUCGGGGAAACUCGGGCUAAUACCGCAUACGUCCUACGGGAGAAAGUGGGGGAUCUUCGGACCUCACGCUAACAGAUGAGCCUAGGUCGGAUUAGCUAGUAGGUGAGGUAAUGGCUCACCUAGGCGACGAUCCGUAACUGGUCGGAGAGGAUGCCCAGUCACACUGGAAGUGGGACACGGUCCAGACUCCUACGGGAGUCAGCAGUGGGGAAUAUUGGACAAUGGGCGAAAGCCUGAUCCAGCCAUGCCGCGUGUGUGAAGAAGGUCUUCGGAUUGUAAAGCACUUUAAGUUGGGAGGAAGGGUAUUCACCUAAUACGUGGGUACUUUGACGUUACCAACAGAAUAAGCACCGGCUAACUCUGUGCCAGCCGCCGCCGUAAAAC
rnacentral:rRNA from 1 species